rnacentral:rRNA from 1 species
CUUGACAUCCAGAGAACUUGGCAGAGAUGCUUGGUGCCUUCGGGAACUCUGAGACAGGUGCUGCAUGGCUGUCGUCAGCUCGUGUUGUGAAAUGUUGGGUUAAGUCCGCAACGAGCGCAACCCCUAUCCUUUGUUGCCAGCGAUUCGGUCGGGAACUCAAAGGAGACUGCCGGUGAUAAACCGGAGGAAGGUGGGGAUGACGUCAAGUCAUCAUGGCCCUUACGAGUAGGGCUACACACGUGCUACAAUGGCGCAUACAAAGAGAAGCGACCUCGCGAGAGCAAGCGGACCUCAUAAAGUGCGUCGUAGUCCGGAUCGGAGUCUGCAACUCGACUCCGUGAAGUCGGAAUCGCUAGUAAUCGUAGAUCAGAAUGCUACGGUGAAUACGUUCCCGGGCCUUGUACACACCGCCCGUCACACCAUGGGAGUGGGUUGCAAAAGAAGUAGAUAGCUUAACCUUCGGGAGGGCGUUUACCACUUUGUGAUUCAUGACUGGGGUGAAGUCGUAACAAGGUAGGCGUAGACGU